GCCAACGAUCAUACCACGUUGAAUACACUAGUUCCCGUCAGAUCACUGAAGUUAAGCAACGUCGGGCGUGGUCAGUACUUGGAUGGGUGACCGCUUGGGAACACCACGUAUCGUUGGCUCAU
rnacentral:rRNA from 1 species